rnacentral:lncRNA from 1 species
CCGACCCUACUGAAAUAGUUAACCCCACAAUUCAAUUCUCAUUUCCCACCACCAUUUCAACCAAUUCGGCAAUUACUCAACCAUUUCAAACACAAUUCAAUUCCACUUUCCACAACCAUUUCAACCAAUUCCACAACUAUUUCAACCCCACACACAAAUCAAUUCCAAAAUCCAACAUGAAAAACACACAAUACAAUUAAAUUAAAAACACACAAUGUAAUUCCACAACCAUUUUACCCAUACACAAUUCAAUUCAACAACCCAACAUAAAAAAUAAAAAACUCAUGUCUUAUAUAAAUAAAAACACAAUGCAAUUAAAUUAAAAACACACAAUGUAAUUCCACAACCAUUUUAGUCAUACACAAUUCAAUUCAACAACCCAACAUAAAAAAUUAA